UUCAGCUUCUUCAGCGAAGGUCUCUCCAGGGAAGCAGCGCUCAGAGAAAAGUCUUGGAAAGCACAAAAAAAGGCCCAAGCUUCGCACGAUAAAUUCCCAAGAUGGAAAAGAACUCCCCGUGCGGCACGGUUUCGGCUUCGCACAACAAUUGGAUGCUGUUCAUAGCAAGAGGUUUGGAUUUUGUUGCAGAUCUAUCAUUGGUCGCUACUCACAGAGUUACAGAGUCACGAUCGCAACUUUCAGGAUCGGUCUCUGCCGAAACCAAUCCGAGCCGACCAAUCCAGCUGAUCUGAUAUCAAUACUUGAUUCCAUGAUACUAUCACUCCAAAUCAAUCAAGUUUCGAUCCAGCUUACACAAAAUCAAGGUAUGACAAUGUUUAUUAGUAGAAUUAAAAUUUUUAUUUAAAUACAAGUAAUGGAAAUAGGAUUUAUAUUUUAUUUUCUGUUUCCUUGUGUUCUUAUUUACGUAUGUACUAUAAUUGAAGGUGAUGCCUACAGUAGUACCUCUCUCAGAAAUUCGGCCGAUGUAUUGAGAAUUUUUCACUUGCUUUUUA